rnacentral:tRNA from 1 species
AAGCAAAUAUAAAACUGAUUUCGACUCAGCUUAUGGUUUCGUAUAACCUUUGCUUA